GCGUAGUCGGCGACCAACUCCAGGGGAAGCGCAGCUCCAUUGCCUCAGUACACGGUUGCCGGGAGAAGCAGCAGGCACAGCAACAGCAGCUCCAUUUGCUGAUCCUCCUCCUGCUUCUCUCCCGCCUGUGCUGCCCCAUCUUAGGUCGUUCGAGGGCGGCUGACCAGCCCCUAAGCCGAGAAGCACCGACUGCUGCGAAAGACCCCGCUGUUCCCCAAACCCCGUUUUCCAACUUUUUCCCCUCCAGAUACCCCGCUUCUAACUUGAGUGUGAGACUGAGGCGGCGCUUCAACACCGAGAGAAAGAGCAGGCUGGAAUACUUGGCUGCUGAGUAAUAUUAACAUACACAUCAAUCUGUCCAUAUCAAAAGUGCUUUUCCUAUUUUACUGCCUAUGUACAUCAAAUGCCUUGGACAACCUUCUUCUCUUCCUCUUCUGACAUCUUUCCAUUUUAAAGUUAUGCUUCAGGAUGCAAGACAACCACCAGUCUACUAUACCAUGUUUCUAUACUUAUCUUUAAUGUUGGUAUGAUUACACCGUUUCAGGGUGUCCCCCACCCCCUUUCUUCAGUCUGUUUUAGAAAUGUUCCUUCCGUUUUAUCCCACACUGUCACACUACACUGCUUUGGACUACUGUUGAUGCUUUGAUGCCUUUAACUCCACCCGCCCCCCUUUGUUGUAGAUUCCCACCAUUUUUAUUAUGAGAGAGAUUUUCUUAUGCUUUGCUAGACAUCUUAGAUAUUUCUCACACUUCAUCAUUCUUUCAGGAAAUUCAGUGACCCUGUGCAGACCAGUAGGGCAAUGAAAUGGGGACACCCACACACAAGGUAUAAAGUUGUGCCAUCGAGUCAGUGUUGACUCCUGGCAACCACAGAGUCAUGUGGUUUUCUUUGGCAGAAUACAGGAGGGGUUUACCAUUGCCUCCUCCCGUACAGUAUGAGAUUAUGCCUUUCAGCAUCUUCCUAUAUCACUGCUGCCCAAUAUAGGUGUUUCCCAUACUCUGGGAAACAUACCAGCGGGCAUUCAAACCAGCAACCUCUUGCUCCCUAGGCAAGUUACUUCCCCACUGCGCCAUCAGGUGGCGUGUGUGUACACAAGCAACAGGCUCCUGCAUACUUGUGAUUCCUCCUACAGGAAUAUAUUUAUUUUUUAAGAAUAGACCAACCCAGCCUGGCAACAUCCUUCCCAAUAAGGGCUAUGCAUGUGCAUACAGCUUAUAGGAACAGAAUAUUAGAAACCAUUAAAGUUAAAAGAAGUGGGGAUUGGCAUCAGAGGGAUCAAUUUUCCUUUUCCCAUUCAAGUUAUGGAACAAUUUUUCUGUUUCCACCCCUGAAAAAGAUUAACUCUCACAGGCAGUACAGGGAGGAAAGGGGGCAAUUCCACCCCAGACUGUACUGCUUGCCACAAAACCAGCACACAAACCUCCUCCCACCAAUCUACAGAACUUAGGUUUGGGAAUGACUGCUCAGUUUGCUGUACAUCCAGUUCCAAACACCAAUGAACUUUCUACAUUGUUACUAUUCACUAAUUUUAUCAACAUAGUUUCCUCCCCCACAAUACACCCAUUCCUGAUUUUGCUGCAUAUCUCCAAGGUCUCCCACCUUGGUCACCAAAUACCCAUUUCUGACCUCUUUUGCAUUUGGUCUGUAUUGGCAUCUAGCCUGUCAAAACACAAGAUAGCCUCUUUACGAAUAGGUAGGAUAAUGAGGUUGCAGUUUCGAAGAUUUACCCCUCUCUUUGGCCUUUUGUCUUUUUCCCCCCUUUACCUUUUAUUGCAAUAAGAUUACAGUGCAUAAACAUGAUCAAGAAUAGUAAUAAUAUAUGUGAAUAUAACUGAAAAAGAAAAAAGAAAAAUCCCUUAAAUAUAAUAACGUACAACCAAUGCAGGAGAAAAGUAUGUGGGAGGGGGUAAGACACAGAACACCUUAUUAAAGGAUAUAUAUCUUUUGUUUCAAAGCAUAAACAAUUCAUUAAAUCGACCAAACAGCUGAAAAUUCCUCUUCUUUGGUAUAAUAAUAAGCCUCAGGCCCAACUCACAUUAGCGGCCACACAUCAGAUCUUGUCUUUUGCCUCAGAGCAGUGGCAACGUGAUCUGAGGACAGGGGAUACAGUCAUCUCAUGCUUGUAAUGGUCAGAUCAUUUCCUGGUAUGUCUGCAUAUCAUUGUGGCUCCUGCACUUCGCAGGGGCGAUGGACCCAUUUUAUCGGUCUGUCUCAGGUGCUUAAUGGAUCUGGCUGGAUUCUUGGGGAAUUUCCCAGCAAUCUUGUGGGCAGCUCUCCAGCACAACUCGUUGAGGCUUGGAAAAUCGAGGCCAUGAAGGUGCUGGAUGAGAUUGCUCCUAAGCAGCCUUUUAAACUGUGGGUCUCAUGGCCCUUGGUUUUUAGAGGAGCUAAGGGGCAUGAAACAGGUCAAAAGACACCUAGAACAACGCUGGAGGAAAACUGGGAGCGAAGAUGCUAGAACACAGUUGCAUUCCUAUGUCCAGGAGUAUACCAUGGCAAUGAGAGUGGCGAAGUCUGCUUAUUUCUCCGCUCUCAUUGCAUCGGCAGAAUCCCAUCCAGUAGCACUAUUUCAGAUCACCUGUACCCUUUUGGGGAAGCAGAAGAAGGAAGACCUUCCAAAGGGCCGCUGUGACGUUUCUGCGAAAUUCUUUGCCUAUAAGGUUGCUCAUCUCCACUCUGAGUUGGACUCUUGAUUGUGCUAUGUCCAUUGAGGUGAUGGAGGUAAUGUCUUGUGAUGUCAUUUGGGAUAUGUUUGACCUUGUGGAGGCUGAUGAUGUGGAUAGGGUUCUCUGUGAUAUAAGUAUGGCGUCUUGUUCACUAGAUCCUUGCCCCUACUGGGGGGAGGGGAGGUCGUGGGUCCAAGAGCUAGUGAAUUCAUCACUCAGGGAGGGAGACGUUCCUCUAGCUUUUAAAGAAGCAGUGGUCCGCCCUCUUCUGAAACAACCUUCCCUUUUCGGGGAAGGUUUUGGAGAAAGUCGUUGCUGCUCAACUAAGGGAAGCCUAGAUGAAGUGGAUAUCCUUGACCCUUUUCAGUCGGAGUUUAGACCAUGGCACAGCAUGGAAAUGGCAUUGGUCACUCUGGUGGAUGACCUCUGUCGGAGCCUUGAUGAGGGGAGCGUGCCUCUCUUGGUUCUAUUAGAUCUCUCAGCGGCUUUUGAUACAAUCGACCAUGGUAUCCUUCUGGAUCAGCUGCAGGGGGGUGGGAAUUGGGGGCACAGUGUUGUGCUGGUGCUGUUCCUACCUUAGUGGAUGGUUUCAGACAGUUUGUAUUGGAGGUAAGUGCUCUAGUCCAUAGCGUCUCUCUUGCAGAGUGCCGCAGGGCUCAGUCCUCACUCCCAUGCUUUUUAACAUCUAUAUGAAGCCACUGGGUGAGGUCAUCCGUCAGUUUGGUGUGCAGUAUUAUCAGUAUGCUGAUGAAACCCAAUUGUACAUCACCACCCUGGGCCAAUCCAGGGAUGCCGUGAAUGUGUUGACCCAGUGUCUGGAGGCUUUAAGGGUUUGGAUGGGCCAAAACAAGCUCAGGCUUAAUCCUUCCAAGACAGAGUUGCUCUUGUUCAGUUCUCAAUCUUGCCAGGUUCCGUUUUCAAGUGUUUCCCUUGAUGGGGUUGCGCUCCCCUUGAAAGAGCAGGCUUGCAACUUGGGGGUCAUCCUGGACUCAUGGCCCCUGCUGGAACAGCAGGUGGAAGCUGUGGCCAGGGAAGCCUUUGACCAGCUUUAUUUGGUGUGCCAACUGUGACCUUACCUCAAUCGGCAGGCCCUGGCAACCGUAACUCAUGCCCUCGUCACCUCUCGGUUAGACUACUGCAAUGUGCUCUAUCUGGGGUUGCCUUCGAAGACGUCUCGGAAGCUUCAGCUGGCCCAGAAUGCUGUGACGCAGCUGCUUAUGGGCAGCAGAAAAUAUAAUCAUGUUUCACCUUUGCUACCAGUUGGCUUGCUGGUCCAAUUCAAGGUGCUGGUUAUCACCUAUAAAACACUUCAGGGUUUGGUGCUUAUGUACCUUCAGAACCGCCUCUCCUGUCCAACUUCGGCCUGCCCUGUGAGGUCGUCUCAGGUGGGCCUUCUCAGAGUUCCGGGCCCAGGGAAGGUACAUGGGUCCCAGGCUCGUGGGCUCCUUCUCUGUUGAAGCCCCCUCCUUAUGGAACAUUCUCCCUCCUGAGAUUCAUAAUGCUCCAUCCCUUCUGACCUUUAAGAAGCUCCUGAAAACCUAUCUAUUUUGCCAGGCUUUUCAUUUUUAAGGUGUGUGUGGGGUUCUUUUUUCCUUUCCUUUCCUUUUUCUCCCCAUUCCCUUCUUCUCUUGUUUUCAUUGUUGUGUUAAUUUAUGUAAACCGCCUUAAGUCUAAGGAAAUCAGGCAGUCAAUAAAUUUGCUAAAUAAAUAAAUAAUAUGCAUAAUACCACCAGUGGUAAGCACUUGCACAUUCAAAGGACCAUAACAUAAUGCAAUGGUAAUAAUGGUAAAUAGCCUUACCUAGCAUUUUUAGUACCAAAUGUUACUGUAAUGUCACUUUCUCACCAUUGGUUGGACUUGGUCAUAUAUAGGCAUCUUUAUUUUAUAUCCCACUACUCCAAGGACAGCUAUAUAGAAACACAUUGCCAGUCCAAGGACAACAUUCCUCCCUUUGCUUUGAUUUCAAACGAAUGCUCAGGAAAACAUUACAAUUUUAGUCUUGUGCCUUUUUUUUAACUAACUGGAAUUUCAGCAUAACUGGAUGUUUCUAAAUUCAUGAGCAAUUUUCCUGCCAAGCUGAUUUAUUCCAGUGCUUCCUGGAAAAAAUGGAGAGGAAUAUUUUGCCUUCAGGAUAGACGUGGGGGUUUUUUUCUUUGUAGUCUUAGUCUUGUUAUCAUUAAUACUAUCAGAAUUUUGAUCCCCACCCUAUUCCACCUGAAGGCUUUUACAAAAUACUGAAUGUCAAAACACUCACCUUAGGUUAGGAGGUAACUAAAUAAUUGGUUCUUCCUAUUUAAUAUGUCUGCGAUAUAGUUUCUCGGGGCUACUGAGGCUAUGGAACAGAGCUCACAUUAUGAUGGCAGGAAGAUAGAAGGCUUAAUUAAAUCUGCAAGCCCCACCCACUGACUCCCUCCACUAUAGCCAGUGUGGUGUAGUGGUUAGAGUACAGGACUAGGACCGGGGAGACCCGAGUUCAAAUCCCCAUUCAGCCAUGAUACUUGCUGGGUGACUCUGGGCCAGUCACUUCUCUCUCAGCCUAACCUGAGAGAGGGUUGUCGUGAGGAGAAACUUAAGUAUGUAAUACACCACUCUGGGCUGCUUGGAGGAAGAGCAGGAUAUAAAAUGUAAAAUAAUAAUAAUAAAAUAAUGAUAUAGUAAAAUCAUGGCCUUCUAAACAAGCAGCAAAGGAGAGUAUCACAAAAGGUAAGGGGCUCAUACCCCUUAGUUCCUUUUCUUGUAGACCAGUCCUGCUAACAACCUGCAUGCCUCAUUCUUCUUUCCCUCUAUUUAAACACCAUAAAUUAUUCUUAACUCUGGUAGAUCAGGUAUAGCUCUUCUUACCAAGUAUUAAAUAAAUAAAUGAAUUAUUCAUUCAUUCAUUUAAAGAAGAAGUUCUGGUAAGAACUAAUCUGCCUACUUUCCGUUCACUAUAAUCUUAAUUGAUAAUUACCAUCUUCACAAGUAAGCCCUCUUCCGCCUCAAACGUUCAUGCAUCCGCCAUCUUGAACUGGGGUCAAUGCCAUCAUCACAAACUACGCCAUUGAAGUGUACCAACAACUGUACCAAAUUUGGUCCGAAUAGAUUCCCACUUUUGCUUCAAACAUUCAGAUAUUGCCAUCUUGAAUUGGGAUGGAUGACAUCAUCACAAACUACGACACUGAGGUGUCCCUAUGUGUCACUGCAACUGUAUCAAAUUUGGUUCAAAGUGAUCUAGGCAUUGCAAAGUUGAUCGGGAGACACACACAGACACAGAAAGCUGAGUGAUCUCAUAAGCUUGCUUUCUUUAAGGGAAAAUAGGUGAAAAAUGAUGUAUCCCAUCUUUCCACAACAGAGAUUCAAGAAAGCUCACAAUAUAAUUUAAAACCAUAAAAAUACAAUUACAAAUAUACACUAUUUCCAGGGGUGUAGCUAUAAUUGAGCUAAUGGGUUCAAAUAAUAUGGGGGGCCCAGCUCCACCCCUCCCUAUUUUCUUCAUUAUCUCCAUUGCUCCAAGGGGCCACUGGGGAGAGGGGUGAACACGGUCCCACGCUCCCCUAACUACAAUCCUGACGAUUACUGCUAUGAAGAAUAUUUACAUCAUAUACUGCUUUUCAAGGAGCAAAUGGCCUACAUCUGGCCUGUUGUUGCACUAGCAUAAAUGGGAGAAAUACAUGUCUCUUAACAGUUUGCUAUGCUAUGCCAUGUUGUGCAGCUGCACAGCUCCCACUAAUGCACUACUAGUCUGGAACAGAGCUUCCUUUAUUUGUACAUCUUCACUACGCUGUAUCUUUAUGUUAGCACAACAGUAUUCAGCUAGGAUAACAUGUAGACCAAUAUGCUAUAGGCAGGCUUAAACCAUUAAGGCAAUAAAAAGCACAGAGGGCCAGUUCAGAUGACCCAUCAAAAGUCUGGUUCCCAGGGAGUGCAUGCCCUUGGCAGGCAUGUUGUCCAAACCUGCUAACCUCUGGUUCCCAUGCCUUCAGCCCUACAACCGCCCAAGAUUCUCUGCCCACCUUCAAAUUUAGGUUACAAAUGAGCGGAGAAUGCCAAGUGAAUGUGGGUGGAAGGCUCAACAACUAGUGGUUGGCAGGUUUUGACAACACACCUGCCAGGAGUUCACAGUCAUUCCCAGGAACCACACCUUCGACAGGUUGUCUGAACCUGCCCACAGUAUUCUGUUCCAAGCUAAACUGGGGCAUGCGUGCACCAAGACAGGGAUCCAUAAGGGACAGACUUCAGACAGCCCCAAGGAAAGGGGGGUAUCAGGACCCAGAUAGCUCAAGCAAUCAAGAGAGCUGGGCACAACAACAAUAAAAUGGAUGUUGUUCCAGCAGAUGCUUGGAUGCUGUUGUUAGCAAUGCUUUUCUGCCAGCUCCCAAGAGUCCUCUCAUAUGUCUUUGAGUUUCCAGGCUUGGAGAUCUCACUCUGGAUAUGCUCAGGAGCCUCUCAGCAUCAUGAGCUCUCUGUUUAUGGCACAUGGGAACAGGUCACUUAGUGACAGUGGGCCAGUUGCCCCUAGAUUUGGCUCCUAACAAGCAAAUUGGAAAGGGGAGCAGAUGCAUGCCCUCCCUAUGCUGGGAUACCCUAAGUAGACACCAGAAGUUAACUAAAAGCAGGUUAACUGUCUGUCAAGGCCACUCUGCACUCAGAGUGAACCGCCUCCCCAUCCUCUCCUUUCACAAAGGAUAGCAGCCAGCUAAUGCACCAAUUAACUCAGCUGGAAGAUUUCUGGCCUUUGACUGUAAAUAAACUUGACUGACUGAACUCAGCAGGAAGAACACAGAUAAGGCUUGCAUAGGUAAAUCUCCCCCCUCACAAAGAGGCUGAAUCAGCGAUAACAGAGUUCCCAACGAUAAAGAGUUCCCUAAGAGAUGCACCCAUUAAAAGUACUGGUUAGAUUAUUGGACCUUCCGUCCAUGCAGAUUUCUUCUUCUGACAUCUAUGCACUCUGUUUUCAUGACAAGAGCCUUGGCAUACCUCGGCAAUUCCCACAUUGCUACAUGUAGGAAAAGAGAUCAGCAACAAUGGAAUCCUUGCCAGUUCCCCUAUCCAACAAAAAUGGUCAAUUGGAAUGUGCCCCCAGGAUAUGUUUUUGGGUAUAAGAAGUCCCAUUUUCAUGAUCCAAUGUGCUCUUUGCUUACCACUAACUUGGAGUCACCAGCUGCUGUUUGGGCGAUUUACUGUCCACAGGCCACACCAGGCUGUGCUCAGUUCUUCGUGCCACCCUUCAGAUCCUCUCUCUUGCCCAGCCUGAUCUGCCCAGUUUUCCUUGCUAACAUAGGAAGCUGGUUCCAUAGAGAAGCACCCUCAUGGAUUCAUCUAUCUCAACGAAUCCCUCCAAACUUCUUGCACCCACCUUUGCCCGAGCUGUCCCGGAGGAACAAGGUCCCUCGGUGGUUCCAGGAGCCUUGAGAUCCCUUUGUCCAGAUCAGGCAAUAUGAGCAUUUGCCUCUCACUGGGCCCAAUUCUAUCUCUAUUCCCCUUUCUUAAAUCCAACCACCUCCCUCUCUAAGAAAUCUCUUUCUCUUGCCUGCCUGGGAACUUAUACAAUUAGGACUU